rnacentral:rRNA from 1 species
CCUACUGGGGGCAGCAGUGGGGAAUCUUGGACAAUGGGGGAAACCCUGAUCCAGCGACGCCGCGUGAGUGAAGAAGUAUUUCGGUACGUAAAGCUCUAUCAGCAGGGAAGAAAUAGCGACCUUUGGGUCGCCAGACGGUACCUGACUAAGAAGCCCCGGCUAACUACGUGCCAGCAGCCGCGGUAAUACGUAGGGGGCAAGCGUUAUCCGGAUUUACUGGGUGUAAAGGGAGCGUAGACGGCAGCACAAGUCUGAAGUGAAAUGCCGGGGCUUAACCCCGGAACUGCUUUGGAAACUGUGCAGCUAGAGUGCAGGAGAGGUAAGUGGAAUUCCUGGUGUAGCGGUGAAAUGCGUAGAUAUUAGGAGGAACGCCAGUGGCGAAGGCGGCUUACUGGACUGUAACUGACGUUGAGGCUCGAAAGCGUGGGGAGCAAACAGGAUUAGAUACCCGAGUAGUC